rnacentral:misc_RNA from 1 species
CCAAACUUGGUCAUUUAGAGGAAGUAAAAGUCGUAACAAGGUCUCCGUUGGUGAACCAGCGGAGGGAUCAUUACCGAGUUCUCGCCCCUCGCGGGGUAGACCUCCCACCCACUGUGAUCACUACCGUCGUUGCUUUGGCGGGCCGCUGGGCCCUGCCCGCCGCCGGCCCCGGCUGGCGCGCGCCCGCCAGAGGCUCUACGAACGCUAGAUAUCAGUGCCGUCUGAGUACACAUGUUAAUCGUUAAAACUUUCAACAACGGAUCUCUUGGUUCUGGCAUCGAUGAAGAACGCAGC